rnacentral:lncRNA from 1 species
GUCAGGAUGCCCUUCCCUUCUAAGCUGAGUCCUGUUCCACGGUGCGCAUAGGCCACAUUUUGCUCGUCCAUUCAUCUGUGGAUGGACACGGGGACCGCUUUCGCGUUUUAGCUGUUGUGAGUCGCGCUGCUACAUACGUGGGUGUACAGAAACCCCUUCGAGAUCCUGCCUCAGCCCCUUUGGGAGUGUGCCCAGACGUGGGAUUGCUGGAUCAGGGUGCUGUGUGUUAGCUCAGUGGGGAAAGCCUUUGGAACGGGAACUGUGGUCCGCACAUUUGACAGAGCAGCGGCAAAUUGGGCGGCUCCGGGGUCAGGUGGCCUGCUUUAGUUCCCAGCUCUGCGGGUUCCUAACUGCGCUUUCUCAGGUGAGUCACUGCUCUGACGCUCAGUUUUGUCCUCUGUGAAAUGGCGAUAAAGAUAGUAUUGAUUCAUAGAGAGAAAAGAUGAAAUGAGUAAGAAGAGCGCCUGGCACACAGCACACACUCAGUAAAUAGCACCCGUGUGUUGUUUCAGGCAAAGUCGUCUGAUGAUCAUGCAUCUGACACCUCUCCCUACCCCCCAGCCCCGGGGGCGGGAUGUGUUGUAGCCAACGGGUGGCUGUGGGAGAUGCCUUCAUUCUCUCUCAGAACACAGCCAGGGGAAGCCCCAGGGCUGCGAGGCUGGAGUGUGGGGACCAGCCUGGGCCUUGGGAGCGGGAACAUAAUGCAGAACGAGGACAUACCUGACAAGACGUCACAUCCAUAUGGAGGGCACAGCGAUGCCCUUUGCUGUGUGACUUGGUACUUCUUCCCACCAAAGGGCGAAGGUGUAUUUCCCACCCCUUGACUUUGGGUGUGGCCAAGUGAUCUGCUUUGACUUUGUCCAAAUGAAUGAAGUGGAAGUGAUUCUGUGCUAUUUCUGUCCCUGGCCCUCAAGGGACCUUGUACUUUUCUGUACCCUUACCGUUGUGUGAGACAAGCAUGUCUUGGAUUGGCACCCACUGAUCCAAGGAGGUGGAGCAGCCAAGCCUGGCCUGGAUCAGCCAAGUGACAGAGGUGUCGAUGAUAAUAUGUGAUUUUUUUUUUUAAGAUUUUAUUUUUAAGCCAUCUCUACACCCAAUGUGGGUCUGGAACUUAUAGCCCUGAGGUCAAGACUGGCAUGUUCCACUGAAUGAGCCAGUUCUGCUUCGCAUGAGCAGCUGACACCACUUCUGUUUAUGUCUUAUCGGUCCAGGUAAGUCACACGGCUGGGCCAAACUUUUGGGGGUUGGGGUGGGAGUUGAAAAAAAUCCAUGUGAUUGUUGUUUUAAGCCACUGAGCUGAGGGGUUAUUUGUUAUGCAGCACAUUGGUGGCAGUAGCUAACUGAUAAAACCAGCUCUUGACAAGUGCUAUUAUUAAUUAACCUCAUUCAGGCAAAGAAACUGAAGCCCAAAGAGGUGAGAAGAGCUUCUUAACAUUAUAAUUAAUGUGUCCAAGCCCAGACAGGAACCUAGCUGACUUGACUCCAUUUGGCUUAUUGAUUCAGCACAUUUGGCUUAUUGAUUCAGCACAUUUUAAAAAAAGAUUUUAUGUAUUUAUUUGAGAGAGAGAGAGAGAGGGAGAAUGAGCAGGGGGGAGGGGUAGAGGGAGAAGGAGAAGCGGACUGCUUGCUGAGCAGGG